AUUGAACGCUGGCGGUAUGCUUAACACAUGCAAGUCGAACGGUAGCAGCUCUUCGGAGGCUGACGAGUGGCGGACGGGUGAGUAACGCGUAGGAAUCUGCCUGUUAGUGGGGGACAACUUAGGGAAACUUAAGCUAAUACCGCAUACGCCCUACGGGGGAAAGGAGGGGAGUCUUCGGACCUUUCGCUAACAGAUGAGCCUGCGUAGGAUUAGCUAGUUGGUAGGGUAAAAGCCUACCAAGGCGACGAUCCUUAGCUGUUCUGAGAGGAAGAUCAGCCACACUGGGACUGAGACACGGCCCAGACUCCUACGGGAGGCAGCAGUGGGGAAAUAUUGGACAAUGGGCAAAGCCUGAUCCAGCAAUACCGCGUGUGUGAAGAAGGCCUUAGGGUUGUAAAAGCACUUUCAGUAGGGAGGAAGGGUUGGACUGUCUAAUAACGCAUCAACAUUGACGUUA
rnacentral:rRNA from 1 species